rnacentral:rRNA from 1 species
GUAAGGAAUAUUGGUCAAUGGACGAAAGUCUGAACCAGCCAUGCCGCGUGAAGGAUGAAGGCCCUCUGGGUUGUAAACUUCUUUUAUCUGGGACGAAAAAAGGGUAUUCUUACUCACUUGACGGUACCAGAGGAAUAAGCACCGGCUAACUCCGUGCCAGCAGCCGCGGUAAUACGGAGGGUGCAAGCGUUAUCCGGAUUCACUGGGUUUAAAGGGUGCGUAGGUGGGUAUUUAAGUCAGUGGUGAAAUCUCAGAGCUUAACUCGGAAACUGCCAUUGAUACUAUUUACCUUGAAUGCCCUGGAGGUAAGCGGAAUAUGUCAUGUAGCGGUGAAAUGCUUAGAUAUGACAUAGAACACCAAUUGCGAAGGCAGCUUACUACGGGGUGAUUGACACUGAGGCACGAAAGCGUGGGGAGCAAACAGGAUUAGAUACCCGGGUAGUCC